AAGACGUCCAUUUAUAAAGCAUCAACAACUCAAAGGAGCCGUCCUCAGAUUCAGACCUCAGCACCACCCAGUGACAGCAGACAGAUCAUCCUAUAUCUUCAAUCUUUGUAGUAACUCCAAAAUUAACUGAAGAAAACAGUACAAAGGUUAAAGUACUACA